rfam:Ictidomys tridecemlineatus contig106199, whole genome shotgun sequence.
GGGGUUGUAGCUCAGUGGUAGAGUGCUUGCCUAGCAUGUGUGAGGCACUGGGUUCGAUUCUCAGCACCA